AGGUCUCCAAGGUGAACAGCCUCUGGUUGAUAGAAUAAUGUGGAUAAGGGAAGUCGGCAAAACAGAUCCGUAACUUCGGGAAAAGGAUUGGCUCUAAGGGUUGGGUAGGCUGGGCCUCUGGCGGACGGCUCGGGAGCCGGGAGCAGCUAGCUGGGAAACCGGCCGGAGGCUUCUGGCACCUGGGUUCUGAUGCCUUUGGCAGGCUUCGGCCGUCCGGCCUACGCUUAACAACCAACUUAGAACUGGUACGGACAAGGGGAAUCUGACUGUCUAAUUAAAACAUAGCAUUGCGAUGGCCAGAAAGUGGUGUUGACGCAAUGUGAUUUCUGGCCAGUGCUCUGAAUGUCAAAGUGA
rnacentral:rRNA from 15 species